rnacentral:lncRNA from 1 species
CGUCCGCCUCCCAACCUUCCACCCUCCACCAUCCUCAACCUUGUCCCUCCACCACCAACCUCUGCUCCACCACCAUCGCGUAUCCACAGCGCCUCUACACGAUUCGGGAAGGGAAGGCUCGCUGAAGGGAAGAUCUGUCGCCUCCACCGCGCCUCCACUGUUUAUCGGCGACAGAGGGUGGAAUCGCAGAGGCGACUGAAGAUCUGUCGCCUCCACUGCCUCAUCUCUUCUCCACCGCUCCCUUUUUCUCCAAUGUGCUCCCCGGACUCGAAAAAGCAGUGGCAGCGAAGAACACCCUCGGGAGUAGUUUCUUGCAGAGGGGUGGAGCGGUUGAUUCGCGGCAGUGGGGCGCCACUGUCACCUCGCCUAAGCCCUAAAUAAAUUGGGAAAGGGAAUAUUAGCCAAAGGGUGGGGAAAUGCUUCGAUCUGGAAAUUUUUUGCGCCGCCGCCAUCCUCAACCCUCGCUCGCCUCCGGAUCUGCGGCAUCUCCUCCACUUCCGUCGGAUCUUCGCCGCCUCUUCCACC